rnacentral:lncRNA from 1 species
CCUGGUUGUGCGGUCACUCGCAGUGUUCUCGGGCCAGUCCUGUCGAACACUUUGAUCGAUGACCUGGGUGCAGGAGGGGAGUGCGUCCUCGGCAAGUUUCCUAAUGGUACUUAACUACUGUAGGCUCCCGGAGGGCCGAGAGGCCUUGCAGAAGGAUCUAGAUCAUGGCUAUCCAACCUUUUGGCUGGCCUGGGCCAUACUGAGCAAACAGGAAUUGCCUUGGGACGCAUAUCAAAUAUAUAAUAAAUUUAAGGCAUUUCAGUAACCAACCUUUUUUAAAUGCAUUUUUUAGUAAAGCGUAAAAACAGCAGAGAGCAACAGCAACAUAAAACUAGUGGGAUGUUUGACCAUUAAGGGCCCUAAGGAAACAGGGAAUUCAAGAAGGCAGGUUAGAACCCAAGUGAGAGCUUGAUUGUGCUGCAAUGUGGAUGCCAUCGGAAGAGGAAGAAAAUUCACAAUUGAUUAGAUUUGUCUGCUUUGGGCUUGAAUUAUUCAUUGCAGAAAUGUACCCAGUGUGGCUUUUUGUUUGUUUGUUUGUUUUGUUUUGUUUUGUUCUUUGCAUCCUUAUAACCCACUGUGGUUAAUUCUCCAGGACUAAUCCUUUAGGUAUUACCUGCCCAGCCAAACUGAGCACACGCAUCUGCUGCAUCUCCUACGGGAACUCGGGAAAUCCCUUCCCCUGCUCCGUGUCCUGCUUUCAGCUGGGACAAAGUUGGUUUCCUUUGUAGGGUCUGGUGCGAUGCUGUGCUUUGGCUUUAGGAGAAGACUAUCGAUAACACACUCAUGUUUUAGUUUUGCUGAGCAGUGCUGCACAGAGCCAAGGAGAUUUCAGUUUCUCAGCUCCUCGCCCUGUCCUGCCAGCGAGGGGCUGGGGGGCAAGGAGCUGGGAGGGGACAGAGCCGGGACAGCUGCCCUCAACUGACCAAAGAGGUCUUCCAUCGCAUACGGGAUCACAUGAGGAACUCUAAAACUGAGAAGCGUUGGCCGGGGCGGGCCGCAGCUUGGGGUCUGGCCUGCGUGUCAGUUGGCGGGUGGUGAGCAGCUGCGUGUGCAUCGCUUGUUUUGUGGAGGCACACAUGGUUAUUGCCGUUACUGUUAUUUCUCGCUCUUCCUUUCCUGUCUCAGUAAAUAGUUUUUCCUCAGUCCGUGAGCUCUACCUCUGCUACAGUUCUCUCCCCCAUCCUGCUGAGAAGGGGACAGUGAGCAAAGGGCCGUGUGUGGUGUUCAGCUGCUGCUGGUCUCAACCACAGCGAGCUACUGUGUCACUGCACGGUCAGUGUGCGCAGGAAGGAAUCGCAGGUCACUGCAGUGCCACAGCUGCAUAAGCAAAGUUGCAGACAAGGAACAAAGAAAAAUGACAUGUGGUCAGUUCCAAAUGAGACUCUGCGGACGGGUGAGGUGUAGUCUGUGUCCUCUUUUGCCUCGGGCUUUACUAGCAGGGUCUCCCAGGCCCUGCUGCCUUGAGGCAGAGCCAUGGAGAACAACCAGCAUUGGGUGGAGAUAAAGCCAUGAGUUCCUCUGUGCUGAACAGCCGCUGGGACUGGAAGUUUUGCGCCUGAGAGUGCUGAGAGAGCCAGGGGAAGUCAUAGGGAUGUACACUCAGGUACUCAGGUGGGUCUGGCUGGGAUGGAGUUGUCCGUUGCAGCUCAGACAAUGCUGGGUUUUAGAUUUGUGACCAAAACAGUGUUGAUAGCACGCCGAUGCUGUGGCUGUUGCUGAACAGUGCUUGCAGAAUGUCAGCACUCCUCUGUUUCUCACUCACCCAUCCUGGUGAAUAGACUUAGGGAUGUGCUUGAAGUUGAGAGGGAACAUAACCAGGCAGAAGACCAGAACUGACCAAAGAGUUGUUCCAGGCCAGAGAGCAUCGUGCCGAGCAGUAAAACGGGGAGGGGGGUUUGGUACCGAGCCAUUUUUCGCUUGUAGGCGGGGUGGGCUUCUGUCUUGUAGUACAAACGAAGGCAAUGACAGAGCCUGAAUUUGAGAAAUAGGAGCUAUAGGAAAAGAUAUCAAAAAGAAAUUAAUUCACCCCUCCCGGUAACGGUUGGGAGAAAGGGGCGAGCUGAGGAAGGUGACCCUCUCCGUGAAAGGCGGAGAGGAGCCUUGCCAGAGUCCUCGGCAGUGCUGAGGGACGAGCUCCGUCCGUGAGCGAGUGAAUGUGCGAGGUGAGACUCCACAGGGACUGCCAUGGGGCAGGCUGUCGUCUGCUCUCCUGAAGGCAUCAACAAUUACCCUGUGUAGAUUCUCUGUUCCGUUCCAUUUGUUGCAGCUUCACCGUACAGUUUCACUGUACUGCCAGCCUCUGCUGCAGUGUCGGUUCUCCUAGAUGCGCUCAGUGCUUCCUUCCAAGUGCCUCCUUCCCUCCCUGCAUGCCCUGAUUCAGGGCAGUAGCCCAGAAGAGCUCAAGGACGACUCUUCACAUAUCAAGUCUCCCCAGCACUUCCCUGCUCUGGUGGGAGCUUGGGUGACCGCCCAGUUAGACAAGCAAGCUGAGGCUGGGACCAAGGAGGCCCUCCCUGGCGUGCAGCUCUCCGACUGCUUCCCUUGCACCAAGUGCUGGCCCCAGCCCUAUGCACUAUAACUCAAUGGAAAUGGUCACAGCAGCAGCUUUUGAAUGGAAUGUCUUUAUUGAUCACAAAGUGGGACCUUUCAAUGAACCCGAGCCUUCUUGGCACCGGUAACAGGGGCACUGGAUGGCUCAGGGGGUAUCCUGAGAGCUGCAGCUACUGAGGGAAAAGACGUUGUCAGUAGGAGAGCUGCAGGGAUGCGUGGGCUGAAGGGAGGGGUCUGCUCUGAUUCUGUUGCACAGGUCAGCAAAUUCUGCUUCAAAGGACCAGGAGAAUGCCCUGGAGAUGAUUUUUCCUUGGUCGAGGACAUCCUCCUUUGCAGCCUCCCCCAGCUCCGCUCUGCCUUCAUCUCUGUUUUGAUCUCUCUCCCAGUCAGCUUGUCUUGCUGCUGUCUGCUCUGUCUUGCGUGCCCUGUGGGAAUGAGUUUCAGAAAGCACUACUCACUGAUAGGAAUCGAGGGAACACUUAAAAGGCCUUGCAACAUAAAUCCUGGCGGUGUACUGCCAGCAGCUGAUUUGGCCGUCCAGGAUCCUGUCACCACAAAUGCUUCAUAGCCAAAUGCAGCGAUACAGUGUCUUGGGGAAAAGCUAACUCACAGAUAUUUUUUCCACAUCCACAGCAUAGGAACACAGGCCAGCAUCAGCACGGACAGCAGCACAGCGGAGACCACAGCAAUCACUGGGAUGUGGUGUUUUCGCAGCUCUUCGCCAACAGCGGCCGUUGUGAUUUUCCCAACAUCCACCCCUGGAAGAACCGAGACAAUGCCGCAGGUUACUGUCAUCUGCGCUGCAGAUGAUCUCACAGUGUGCUUCAUGGACCCAAGAGGUUUCCUUUAUCAUCAGUGGGUACCUCCAUCUCUGGUGUAUAAGCACCAGAGGACAAGAAGGAUUGCUUCCACUUCUCGUUGGGUAGGGAGAGGCUGCACCGGCACUCUGGGCUCAGGGCUGGGGCUCUGCCCUGGGGUCUGGGCUUUGUCCGUCGGGAGCAGUGCAGAGCAGAAACCCUCACACUUUCCCCAGCACACAUGUCCUGAGCUCUCCGCCAGAACAUCCCCCAGGCUGAAGGUCAGCCUCCAGCCAGCACAAGGCACAGCUGGAGCCAGCCCAGCAGAGAAACACUCCUGCAGGCUCCUACCACACAGGGCCAUGCUCAUCGCCCUUGCGUUCCUUUAUAGCACGUGCUCUGUACUAGCCUGCUCACGUUUGGCUGCCGGCCUGCUGCGCAAGAGCAGGCAGGAAGGGCCUGGUGGCACACAGUGAUUCUGGUUGGUGACACCAGAUGACCAUGGGACUGAAAUUACCUGGCAAUCCAGCUGCUUGUUCUGCCUGUGUUUUUCUGUCAGAGACUGGCCGUGUGUCACUGCUGCUUUCCUGCAAUGGCUCCUUCUGCACAGUCUCUUGGUCAGUCCCUUUAGUCCCACCAUGCGCUGCUUUCUCCAUUUUCUUCACAGGUUCCUUUAGGACACGGGAUGACCACCAGUAGUACUUCCCUCUUCUAGGUGUAUCCUUUCCUCUAUUUCCUCUUUGCGGACCUUAACAGAAUGCAUGAAGUUCAGUCUCCCGUGCUUGAAGUUUUGAAGACCAGCAGUGCGUCAGUGGAAUCAGUGAAGACCAUCUACUCACCCAUGGGAUUCCAACUGGUCUCCAUCGCAGGAAGGAGCCGAGAAACCAGCAAGGCCCUCCCCGGGGGCACUUCUGCAACCAAAGACCCAUGAAAAGUUUCCGUGCACAACGGCAUCACUGAAUAGUGGAGCAUACCAGGGGAUCGUGCAAGGAAAGGGCAUACACGCACAGGACUACGCUCUCACACCUGCAGACAGACCUGGCCGACAUUUGGCCUUUGAGCUGGCAGCUCUCAAAGGAACUAAAAAGCCAUGACAUACCCAUGUGAUCUGCCGGAGUUUCAGUCCUGGAACUCAGAGGGGAAGCUGGAGCACCUUCAUUUCCAGUCACACCUGCAAUCAAACACAGGACAGAGAGACUUUACUUAGACGUUCUUCCAGUCGGAAUGACGGGAUGCAAUUAAGACAGGGGAUUCCUUCGUGACGCUGUUCUCUCCGUUCCACAAAGGAGCAGCUUGGAAACAGAUCCUGGCUGCCCACAGGGGCACUGCCACAGACGCAGCUGUCACCAAGGGCAGAUGAGAAACGUUCCCAUUGCACGUGGCCACCUCUCUCUUCCUUAGUAACCUGCAGUGACUACAACGGGCUCAGGUACGGACGCGCGACUCCCACUGAAAUGUGGCAGCUCUCCAAGUCACAAAAUACUCAUGACUGAUCUGCGCAAGACCUCCAAGGUACAAGCAGGUUAGGAGGACCUUGAGAGGAUCUGAAAUAAAACUGCGUGCUGCUGGGGCACAAAUUUUUCUGCCUUCAUGGGAACAGACACUCAGAACCUACCUCUGGGUUGACCCCGAGGCACAAAACCUGGAUUCAGACUAUCAUCUGAAUAGGGCGCACCAAUGUCAUCAUCUACAAUCAAGAAGAACUGAUUAGAGAAGUUCCCAUUACUGGGGAUGUUGUGAUAUUCUUCUCCCUUAGCAACUGGAGGUGGGUCAGGCAAGGGGGCGGGAGAAAGACGCAGGUCAUGAUUUGCACAGUAGCAGAGUGGCCAGGAGGACCUCUUGGCUGCCACCUGGCAGCUUACAUGAUACGUUCUCCAAGCCACGUGCAAAAACCCUUAUGGACCACACAGAAGAAGAUUCAGCCCUUUGGGACUUUCUUACUGGGGCACCUCUGGUGUACACAAAGGAAGGUCACACCAAAGCACUGGAGGAAAACACACCUGCCUCUUCCUCUGGGCUGUGGGUGGGGGCUCUGUGUUGGAAACCGGGAUUUGUCUACGGGGAGUACCACCAGGCUGGAGCAGAA